AAGUGGCUGAAAGUGAUACUUUAAAACGAAAUCUUGGUCUUGUAAAAAGCUAGUUCCGAUUCCUUUGAUGUUUGUUGCUAAUGAAAGUGUGAUACAUACUUUCUUUUUAAAAAAACAAACGGUUUUGCAGAGAAGCUCCGGAGGGAUCGGCAUGAGUUCAUUGCUGCCAAAACGAAUUAAACACCUAAUCCUCACGAUUUGGUUGCAGGGGAAACUCUUCAAACCAAUACCGCAGUUCUAGAGUAAAAUUAAGGACGCUGAAACGGUUGCGAAAUCUCUUGGGGACAGUAGAGAUCGCGCUAACCCCGACGGCCAUGUUACUGUAGCUCUUUCCGGAGAGAAAUUGUCAGUCAACCAUUUGGUCACCAAAGCUAUUUUGCACGGGAUGCUAAUAAUACGACCUGUUUAAUUUAUCUGUUUAAGAAAAUGUGACAUGGCUCGUCCCUAAAAGACACGGAGAGGGUAGAACCGAAGGGGGAAGUUGGGGAGGAGCUCCACCAGAUGACUUCAGGCACCCGAGGAAGUGCUCUUCAUUCUGCCCGGAGAAGCCAUGGCGCGCAGCGAGAGCCGGCACCGGUGGUUUGCGGCCCGUGUGGCUGUUUUCUUCCUCUCUGCAGGUUCUAUCAAGCCAUGCUGUGCAGGAACAGAAGAAUGUAGCCACACAUUCCAUAUGAGUGUACCUCAAGGGAGCAGUGAAUCAGUGAUUCUCCCAAUUAAUACAACUGGGAAGAUUUUGUUACUUCACGGUGACUUCCAAGAACGUAAGGGAAAAAGGUUUAGGAUUGGUCUUCCAAAUCAUCUUAACAAACAUGACAACAAGACAGAGGUUUCUCUGGACAACCAAAAUUUCACCUUGCAGGAUGCGAAAAAAGCAGAUGAAGGCCUGUAUCGAAUCAGGGAGUACUUUACCCAAAGAUGCUUGGCUCAAGUUAAUGUAACUGUUUCUGGUAAGUCCUGAAAAAAGACCUCUCUAAGGAAAACUCCUCUGGUGUCUUCAGGGUAUGUCUGGCUGGAAAGGCUGUGGGCAUGUGUGUUUUCCUCUGAAAAGU